rnacentral:misc_RNA from 1 species
GAUGAAGAACGUAGCGAAAUGCGAUAAGUAAUGUGAAUUGCAGAAUUCAGUGAAUCAUCGAAUCUUUGAACGCACAUUGCGCCCCCUGGUAUUCCGGGGGGCAUGCCUGUUCGAGCGUCAUUUCACCACUCAAGCCUCGCUUGGUAUUGGCAACGCGGUCCGCCGCGUGCCUCAAAUCGACCGGCUGGGUCUUCUGUCCCCUAAGCGUUGUGGAAACUAUUCGCUAAAGGGUGUUCGGGAGGCUACGCCGUAAAACAACCCCAUUUCUAAGGUUGACCUCGGAUCAGGUAGGGAUACCCGCUGAACUUAAGCAUAUCAAUAAGCGGAGGA